CCUACGGGUGGCAGCAGUGGGGAAUAUUGGACAAUGGGCGAAAGCCUGAUCCAGCCAUGCCGCGUGUGUGAAGAAGGCCUUCGGGUUGUAAAGCACUUUCAGUGGGGAAGAAAGCCUUGGGGCUAAUACCCUCGAGGAAGGACAUCACCCACAGAAGAAGCACCGGCUAACUCCGUGCCAGCAGCCGCGGUAAUACGGAGGGUGGCGAGCGUUAAUCGGAAUUACUGGGCGUAAAGCGCGCGUAGGCGGUCUGAUAAGCCGGUUGUGAAAGCCCCGGGCUCAACCUGGGAACAGCAUCCGGAACUGUCAGGCUAGAGUGCAGGAGAGGAAGGUAGAAUUCCCGGUGUAGCGGUGAAAUGCGUAGAGAGCGGGAGGAAUACCAGUGGCGAAGGCGGCCUUCUGGACUGACACUGACGCUGAGGUGCGAAAGCGUGGGUAGCAAACAGGAUUAGAUACCCGAGUAGUC
rnacentral:rRNA from 1 species